UUCCGGUAAGGAAACUGAGGCUUAGAGAGUCUAAGUAACUGUUCCAACCACUAGAAAAUGGCAGAACCACAUAUGAGGCCCAGGUCUAUCUGACACCACAGCUGGAACUCUUUCCACUUCCCCAUGUGACAUUCUGAAAGAUUGGCAGUCCAUCUGGAAUUGAUUUGUAUGUGGCGAUAUAUGGAGAUCAGAAAGCCUAGCCACGGAGAAAGGAAAUGGAUUUAAGGUCAUUCAACCAGUCAGAAGUGGGACUGACUUCCCAAUCUGAAUUUAGUGCUGUUUCCACCAUUCUUCGCUACUUUCUGUUGAAGGCAGAAGAGCUGUUGUGAGAUCCAUAAGAAUCUGAAGGUUUUAUAUCUCAGUAAAGAAACACAAUAGCCAGACUUGGCUUGUAUGGUCUGGCUUUUGGUGACAAGUAUACGAUGGACAUGCUUCCUGAGAAACCUAACCAAGGAGAUCAUCCUAUCUACUAUAUUCAGCAGCAAAGUAGCUUGGACUUCAAGAUUCCUGGGUUAAGAACUAUAGGGAAGGACAGAGUUUGUGAAGUUCCAGAUCACCAUUUAAGGCUGACUACAGUGUUAACUCACGCAUGCUUCCUUUGCAAGGCUGCCUGGGGUAUGAAAAACCACUUUCCCAGAGAACUGAUUUACAAACGUAUCGGUUAUUCUCCUUCUGCACCAUCUUCCCAGCUCCAACUCCCUUCUCUGCCCCAUGGGAUUGCACCAGCUCCUGCCUGGGGCUCCUCAACCCCCUCUGCAGAUCCCAGCUCUCCCUGGACUGAGGGUGAGAGCUUCCCAUUGUUGUUAGUCACUGGGUCCCUCAUCAUCGCUUCUUGGUUCCCUUAACCCUGCCUACACCUCU